rnacentral:rRNA from 1 species
UACUCGAGUGGCGAACGGGUGAGUAACACGUGGGUGAUCUGCCCUGCACUUCGGGAUAAGCCUGGGAAACUGGGUCUAAUACCGGAUAGGACCAUGCUUUAGUGUGUGUGGUGGAAAGUUUUUCGGUGCAAGAUGAGCCCGCGGCCUAUCAGCUUGUUGGUGGGGUAAUGGCCUACCAAGGCGACGACGGGUAGCCGGCCUGAGAGGGUGUACGGCCACAUUGGGACUGAGACACGGCCUAG